rnacentral:rRNA from 1 species
UACGUAGGGACCGAGCGUUGUCCGGAAUCAUUGGGCGUAAAGAGCGUGUAGGCGGCUAUUUAAGUCCUGCGUGAAAUCCUGCGGCUCAACCGCAGACGGUCGUGGGAAACUGGAUGGCUAGAGUGCGGGGAGAGGAGAGUGGAAUUCCCGGUGUAGCGGUGAAAUGCGCAGAUAUCGGGAAGAACACCCGUGGCGAAGGCGGCUCUCUGGAACGCAACUGACGCUGAGACGCGAAAGCGUGGGGAGCAAACAGGG